UCAAAUUCGUUGACGAGAACGAGUAAGCUGCAGCGGUCGUUCCCCAGAGAGCCGGUACCCACGCUGAAAGCCGGUGUUCGAUCCGCAGCCGAAAAUCAUCUCCGAGAAGCGCGGCCGAACCUUGACAAGAGCAGUAAGCCGCGCCGGAAAUCCGCCGUUAUCCGGAUGCGCAGACUGCGGUCUGCGGUGAGGUGCCGUCUCAGGCCAUGCGCUUCCAGGGCGCGCGGCGGAGGCGGAAUGAGGGUGGUAACGCGAGCGAAGCUCGUCCCUUUC
rnacentral:ncRNA from 1 species